GAUGAACGCUGGCGGCGUGCCUAAUACAUGCAAGUCGAGCGAACAGACUAUGCGGUUGCUCGUUUCACGUUAGCCUCUGACUUGUGAACGACUCGUUGAUAACUUACUUAUCUGACUGGUAGCGCUUCGUGACUCUUGGGCUAGUUCGGUAUUAUCUCUUGAUCUUAAUUGUUCCAUAGUAAUUAAUUGUAUUGUUCUCUUUCAUCACUACCACAUGGCCCUGGGUUGUAUUAGCUAGUAGGAAAGGUAACGGCUUGCCAAGGCGAUGAUGCGUAGCCGACCUGAGAGGGGGAUCGGCAACACUGGAACUGAGACACGGUCAAGACUCCUAGGGGAGGCAGAAGAAGGGAAUCUUCGGCAAUGGGCGAAAGCCUGACGGAGCAAGGCCGCGUGAGUGAUGAAGGUCUUCGGAUCGUAAAACUCUGUUAUUAGGGAAGAACAAAUGUGUAAGUAAAUAUGCACGUCGUGACGGUACCUAAUCAGAAAGCCACGGCUAACUACGUG
rnacentral:rRNA from 1 species